CGCAGACGAUGAUACAAUUACACUGACAAGAGUGUAAUGAUGAUGGAGACACAAGCCAGAGAAAGGGGGGACCAAACACCAGGCCAGAAUUCUGCAUGAGUCAGAUCCAGUGGGUGCAGAUCAUCAUACAGAUGGUUCAAGUGUGGAUCCACCUAAUAUUCAAGAUUUUCUGUCCUGGGAC